UUAUAUCAACAGAAUCAUACUAUGAAUAACUUGAAAUCUUAUUUGAUGCGUAAAUUCAGAAUGACAGAUUUAUUAGAAAUUAAAUAUUUUGUGGGAAUAAAAGUUGAUAGAGACGAUGGUCGGAUAAGUCUAAGUCAGUCAGCAUACAUAAAAAAUGUUUUAAAUAAAUUUGGGAUGGAUGGGUAUAAUCCUGUGAAUUCACCACUUCCAAGUAAGCUAAAUCACGAAGCGGUGAAUUCAGAUGAUAAAUACGAUGCACCAUGUCGUAGUUUAAUAGGAUGUUUUAUGUACAUAAUGCUAGGUACAAGACCAGAUCCGAGUACAUCUGUUAAUUUUUUAAGUCGAUAUAGUCACAGGAACAACCAAGAACUCUAGCAAUGUUUAAAGAGAGUUUUGAGGUACCUGAAGGGGACUAUUGAUUCGAAAUUAGUAUUUUAGAAAAAUACUAAGGGCCGUUUUCUAGUCUGACCUUUAAAUUACCGGCCACUUUAUCGCCUCGAUAAACGCAUUUUCGCUUUCUCAUUCGCGAAUUAAGUUAUUGUAUCGAUAAAUUGCUGCUCACCUGAUGUAACCUUUAAAAAUUUGUAGCCAGCUUUAAAUUAAGCAUUGCCAACUAAAGUUUUUGGUUUACUUACAUCAAUUGAACAGCUGUUAUUUAUUUUGCUUUUUGAUACAAACAAAAAAUUUUAAUUUAAAUUACACUAUGUCGACACAUAUAUAUAUUAAUCGGCUGGAAGAAAUGUUUGAAGGCUCGGAGCAACCAGCUGCAUCUUGUAGGAAGUAUCGCAGUCGGCCGGAUUAUUUAGAUAGCUAUGAUGACGAUGAGUUCAUCAAGAGGUUUCGAUUAUCCAAACCAACUUUUCGCUUCGUUUUAAAUAAAAUUUGUAACGCUUUGGAGCCUUUUACAAGAAGUACUAUUAUAUAUCACCAAAAAUGAAACUAAUGAUAGCACUCAGAAUCUAUGCUAGCGGAAGUUUCCUAAUAACAGUAAGAGAUUUUUGUGGGAUAAGCGUAUCUACGGCAAGUCGAGCAGUAAAAGAAGUGUCUUUGGCUCUGGCCGCUUUAUACAAGGACUUCAUUAAACUUCCCACUGAUCCUACUCAGACGGUGGCAGGGUUUUUCGAAAUCGCUAAAUUCCCCAAAGUCACAAUAAUGUACUCACAUCCGAAUACAAUCACCCGGUGGUAGCAAUGCAAAGAUUUUUCGAAAUAGAAUAGAACACUUCUCGCUAAACGUUCAAGCAAUGUGCAACGCAAAUUUGAUGUUGUUGGAUUUGGUCGUAAGGUGGCUUGGUUCUGCACACGAUUACAAUAUUUUUCGCAAUAGCCAUCUAAAGUUUUGUAUUAAGGAAGGCCAUUUUAGUAAUUAUUUCAUCCUUGGUGACAGUGGCUACAAUUACUACAAUUACUCAUGUAACUAAUUACAUGAUGACUCCAUUAAUAAGUCCAUCAAAUGCACCGGAAAGACUUUAUAAUGAGUCGCAAAUUCGCAUGCGCAAUGCAAUUGAGAGAUGCUUUGGCGUAUGGAAAAGACGAUUUCCUGUAUUGUCGAUGGGACUGCGAACAUCAAUGAACACCAUAAUGGCUAUUAUAGUGGCAUGUGGUGUCCUGCACAAUAUCGCAAUACUAUCAAAAGACCCACUUCCUCCGAUGGAUGAACUGAUUAUACCGGAAAUUCCAGAAGAUGCUGACGAAAAUAAUUCCAUCGAGAUAAAUUCUAACUCUGUUGCAAGAAACCGACUAAUACAAGACUAUUUUGCUCGAUUAUAAAAGAAUGAUACAAAAGGAAAGAUAUACCAGCUAAAUGGAGUCCUAACCGUAUAUGAGCAUAGAAGUAUAUUUCCAAUUUCUAUUUUUAAAUAAAAAGUCAUUUAAUUUAAAGUUUAAUUAAAUGCACGUAUUUAUUAAAAACCGAAAAAAAAAUUCAUUGCAAACUUUAAAAUAAAGUGAAGCCAAAGCUUCAACACAAAAAUUCCACUCCUGAAACAAUGACGAAACUAAUUUUGCUUACACGUUAUAUGGAAAAAAGUGCAACACCUUUAACAGGAAAAAUUAUUAAAAAUAAACAAGAGUACCGCAACUGCUUAAGGUGCAUUCUUAUUUGAAUCUAAUUUGGUUUAUUUUUUAAGAUUUCUAAUUGCAUUAGCUCAUUUUUCAAUUUAAGCGCAAUUAAUUCUUGCUCAUGUUUUUUCCGAGCCCGGGUAUUUUCAUCUGCAUAAAAUUGUUGUUGUAAAACUGUCAACUUAAUUUUUUCUUCCAAAUUUCUCUUGCGGGUGCCAGGACGGUCAAUCAAAAGUUUGGACGAUUUUUUACUUCUGUGCGUUAGGUGUCCAAGAAGACCACUGUUCUUCUUCGUGAUCAACAUUCUUCACAUUUUCUUAUGAAAUUAAAAAUUAAAUUUGUAUAUACAGCUAGGUUUACAUAAUUUACACUAUAUGAAUACCGUAAAAAUACAAAUAGUGUAAAUUAUGUGACCUCAGCUGUAUAUGUUCAUAUGUAUGUAUAAGUAUUCGAAAUAUAUACAGUCAUUUUCUUGCAAAAUUCAAUCAUAAUGUGAUUUAUCUAAAUAUUAAUCAUUCUACAAGAAACAAUAUAAAUUAAAACUUCAAACUUUGUACAAAAUUUAAAAAUGUACACCCCUAUCAUGCAUUUCGAUUACGUUCCCGCUCUACGCUCCGCCGGAGUCGAAAUUAGGUAUCAUGCGUUGCGAUUGGAUUGAAAGAAGAAGAGGAAGAGCUAUAACUCUUUCGAAAUCAGCUGUUUGCUUUGAAAUAUGUGAAACUGAAACAUAACAAAGCAAAAAUACACAAAUUACUGCUGUUCAAAGAAAAUAAAUAAAAGUAAAAUUUUUAUAUUGUUAUUAUUUUUAUUAAACGUAACUAUGGAAUCUUUAUCCGCGGCGAUAUUACUGGUUGAGGAGGAGAGCAGCGCAUCUUAGAAUGCUGGGGUGAGAAUUGAAAGGAGAAGAUUAGGAGAUAUGUGCGAUCCCUUCCAGAUGAAUGACGGGCUAUUCAAAAAAACUUUCAUCUGAAUAAGGACGCAUUCAAGUAUGUCCUAGAUACGUUUGCGGAAGAAACGACGGCAAGAAAAUUUGAUGCUACCUCUUUCAAAAAGCCUGCACAUCUUCCUUAGGAUGCUGGUGGAAAUUUGGUAAUGUAAUACUGCGUUACUUACUUUGUCUGUUAGGGAGUUUUCAAUGGUAGUGAGUCGGGUCUCAAUGGCAUCCACCUUCUGGAUUAUAUCUGAAAAACAUAAAUGUAUUUUUAUAAAGCAAAUACUAAUACAUUUAUAUAAUAAUAUAUUAUACCUGCAUGGCCGCCAGAAGAUGGUGACGGUAUCACAAUUUGUGAUGGUUUUACUCGAGGAGCGCAAACGAGGUUGUAAAACGAGGUUGUAAAAUAUAUUUGUAAAAAAAUAUUAUAAAAAAAUGAAAUAUAUUUACGUUCAAUACAACCUCUAUGGGGGUCAACGGAUAGGAAUCAAAUAUUCACGUCGCAAUCUGAAACAAAAAAAAAAAUGUUAGUACUUUAUGUUAAUAAUAUUUCAAAGUUAAGUAGUUUAUAGCAACAAAUAUUAGCUUGAAAAAGAUUUUUGAUUUGUAAAUACUUACAAAUAGAAGUGUCUUUUUAAAAGAGAAUAUCUACUUCUCAAUUAAUUUUUUUUAUAAUGAGAAAACAUUAUAAGGGAAACAUUUACUGAUUUACCAAAUAAUAGUAUUUCUGUUUAGGACUCACAAUUUAACGUUUCUUUACUUGCGAAAUAUCUUCUUGAGAUCAACAUCCAAGUAAAGAAGUUGUGUAUUUCAGCACUAAGGACAAGACUGCAUAAUUAGUUUAAAAAAUUAAAAUCUAAAUAUCCUCUUUUGAAAAGACACUCCUCAAUAGCUUGAGGCAAGCUUGAAAAAGUAGAACGUACGAAACCACUAUUAUUUAAAUUUAAUUUUUAAAAUCUUACUUCGGAGCAGAAAUGCGUAUUUGUAUAUUCGAACUAUAGUAUGUUCUUUUUUACAACAGCUUCUCGAUCGAGAGACCUUGGGUGAUAGAAAACCGUCGCAAUUUCUACGCCAUCUCAGAAGCCUCGACAACACCGUUCCGGACAACAUUCUUCGAACAAAGUGGCUAAGCAGACUUCCGAUGUCAACGCAAUCGAUACUUGCAUCCCAAGCGGAUAUGAAUCUUGAAUGAUGAAUCGCGUCUCGUCGACAAAAUACACGACAUUGCACUACCAGCAGAAAUUAAUUCGCUCCAAGAAUCAACAACAACAUCAGCAGUCGAAUCACGCAUUUCCCGUCUCGAAGCUUCGAUUAACGAGCUAGCUUCCAGUUUUAAGCGGCAGAGCAUAUCUCGUACCCGUUCUCGUCAGCGCUUUCGUUCGCGCACAUCUUCACCAGCAUUGAACAACGACACAUGCUGGUACCACCAAAAUUUCGGCAAUAAAGCAAAACGUUGCCGAUCGCCGCGCUCAUUUCAGGGAAACCUACCGUCGGAGCGUUAGUGGCGGUUAACGGCUCCUCACGCGAAUCAAACCUUUUCAUAACAGAUCGCGCAACCAAAAUCCAAUUCCUGGUAGAUACUGGCGCCGAUCUCUGCAAUUUUCCUAAAUCUCUCGCACCGUGGCCGUCCGAACGAAUCGACUAUAAUCUCACAGCAGCAAAUGGAUCAACUAUUAAUACCUACGGUUGCAUAACUCUAACACUAAACCUUGGCCUCAGACGAAAUUUUACAUGGCGCUUCGUGGUGGCGGACAUAACGAAACCUAUUAUUGGCGCAGAUUCGGCAUCUUAAACGACCUCAAGAAUAGCUGCCUUAUCGAUUCGAUAACUGGACUAACAGCCGCAUGUAAGUUAUCUCCAUCAAAAAUCAUUUCGGAAAUUAAAGUACUGCCCGUCGAUCCUAUAUGGGCAGAUGCACUAAAGGAGUUUCCUAAGCUGACAAAACUCGAAGGAAUCUGUCAGCCAACAAAACAUACGACGCAGCACCACAUAUCUACUACACCAGGCCCUCCAGUUUCCUGUAAGGCUCGAAGACUUGUUCCCGAAAAACUUGCCAAGACAGAGUUCGAGAAAAUGUUACAACUAGGAAUCGCUCAACGUUUGAAGAGCUCCUGGUCAUCUCCGCUCCACCUGGUUCCAAAGAAGUCUGGCGAAUGGCGAUCUUGUGGAGAUUAUCGACGACUUAACGCCCGUACAUUGCCAGACUGAUAUCCUGUUCGUGUUCUCGAAGACUUUACUGCCAAUCUAACCGGCAAAACAGUAUUUUCAACAAUUGAUUUAGUACGCGCUUUUUCCACGUAAUAUGUCGACAAAACUGCUAUUAUAACACCGUUUGGUCUUUUCUAAUUUCCGUUCAUGACGUUCGGACUUCGAAAUGCCGCACAAACAUUUCAACGAUUUAUCGACGAGGUAACACGGGGACUAGACGACUUCUUAUUUCCAUACAUAGACGACAUCCUAAUCGCUUCCAAAGAUGUUACGCAACACCGCAGUUAUCUUCGCUUACUUUUCGAACGACUCACUAAGUAUGGUGUCGUAAUUAACACCGCUAAGUGCCGUUUUGGUCAGUCCGAAGUGGACGUUUUGGGACACCGCAUUUCAGCCAAAUGAAUUCUACCUCUUUCUGGUAAAGUAGACGAGAUAGUUAACUUUCCACGACCAAAAACGAUCCGACAACUGCUUGAGUUUCUUGGCAUGAUCAAUUUUUAUCGUAAAUUUCUUAAAAACGCUGCUAAGUUACAGACACCUCUGCACGAGUACAUUCAAGGAACUUCAAUUAAAGGUUCGCAUCCGGUCCCCUGGACACCAGAAGGAGAUGCAGCAGAUCACAAACCUUUGCUACAUGCUUUUUCUCAGGACCCCGAUCGAGCGACACCCUAGCAAUUCCACCGCCUAGACUUCAUCAGCCAGUUUACAACCGAUAUCCAACAUAUAGCCGGAAAAGACAACAUCGUCGCAGAUGCUUUUUCUCGCAUCGAAGAAAUUUCAAUGGCAGUAUCUUCAAACAAACUUGCAUAAGCUCAAGUUGAGGACGAGGAACUUCAGCAAAGAAUACAAAGGGAACAACACGAUUCACUAAACUUGCGACCUGUCAACAUUCCAGGCUGCAAUAAACCAAUAUACUGCGACGUUUCGAGCGAUAUUAUUCGUCUAUACGUUCCCAUCGCACUGAGGAAGAAAAUAUUCGACGCUCUUCACAGCAUUAGUCAUCCCGGAGCACGAGCUUCCGCCAAAUUGUUAACGCAACGAUACGUUUGGCCCAGCAUUAACCGCGACUGACGUUUGUGGGCCCGAACAUGCCUAGCUUGCCAACGAAAUAAAGUAUCUCGUCACGUUUUAUCACCAAUCCAAAACUGUCCAAGCCGCACAAGACGUUUCGAACAUAUCCAUGUGGACAUCAUUGGUCCAUGCGUACCUUCAAAAGGGUAUCGCUACUGCUUGACAAUCAUCGAUCGUUUCACCAGGUUUCCAGAGGCAUUUCGCAUCGAAAGUAUCGACGCCGAAUAUGUUGCCCGCACACUUUUUGCUGGAUGGAUAUGCCGCUACGGUGUACCAUUACAAAUUACAACGGACCAAGGAACACAGUUUAAGAGCCAACUCUUUAACGCUCUCGCUCGUCUCCUCGGCAGUAAACAUAUAAAUACCACCACUUUCCAUCCGCAGUCGAAUGGAAUGGUGGAACGUCUUCACCGUCACUUGAAGGAUGCCAUUCGUUGUCACGAAAACAGCUCAUGGGUCGACAUGCUACCCAUCGUUCUCCUUGGAAUUCGCGCCGCUUGGAAGGAAGAUCUUGGCGCAACUCCUGCUGAUCUUGUUUAUGGAGAGCCAAUUCGUUUACCAGGUGAAUUCCUAGCGCCUUCGCCACGAUCUGGUUUGCCACCAUCCAAUUUGGCAUUACGCUUGAGAAAUUACUUCGCAGACCUUGCACCACAACCCAUCGUCCGACAUGGUCAGAGGAAAACAUUCGUUUUCAAAGAACUAUCUACAUGUUCACAUGUUUUUAUUCGUCGCGACGCUCCACUCCACGCAUUCACUUCACCUUAUGAAGGACCUCACCGAGUCAUUUCAAAGCACGAAAAAUAUUUCAUCGUAAACGUCAAAGGCGAAAACACUACAGUUUCGAUCGACCGACUAAAGCCUGUUUAUGUACUUCCCGACGAUAAGCUCAACGAGAAUGAGCAGCACAACGACGAUGAUAACAAUACUACGCUUACUACUUUACCUUCACCAGAGUCAUCUGAACCUGGGACAUCUCGAUUUUCGUCGCCAUCAUACCGCCCAUCUGAAUCCGAUUCCAACUUAUCUACACCGUCACCCAAGAGACGCUGAAACGAAUACGACUCAAAACGAAACAAGGAAUACAUAGUUAACCGUUAGGAUUGAGGACGCCCGCGGUUAUUACUAUAUAGGACUACGCAUCAUACGAGCAGUUCUCUUCUCCUGCUGGCAGCCAUCGCGUGCGCAUCACACAAUAACCACCACAAAAAAUGGAUAGUAAAAAUAUUUUUCGUUUUUUUUUUUAAUAAAAUUAAAAAAACUGCCCAAAAUUUGAUUUCUAGAGUAGAAAACUUAGUCUUUUAUUUGUUUGUUAUACGCAAUAGAUUUGAAUUUUCCAAAUGGUCCAACUGAUUUCUGUAAUAUUAAAAUUUUUAAUUAUACACACAGCAUUCAAUUCACAUUGCUUACCUUUUUCUCCUUCUUAAGCUAUUUCCUUUUCUCUAUAAUAUAUAAAAGAAAUUAAUAAUAUAUAUAUAUAUUAGAAAUUAAUUAUAAAAUAUCAAAUUAUCAAAUAACGAACUUACCUAUUUAAAAUCCAAAACAAACUGCGCUUUUCGUUUUCUUCUUCUUGAAAAAUUGGGUAUUCGUCUUUCUUAUUCUAGCAAGUUAACAUUACAAUUGUUCAAUUCACAACCUGUCGUAAAGCAUCGUAAAAUCGUGAAAAUUUUAAAUUUUUACACUUGUUUAAAAAAAUUGUUGUUGGAUUUCAUACAAAAAUGAGUUUAUACAUUUACAAUUCUCAAUGCUAUGUUUUCGAAUCGUUAUAACUUACAACUUUAUGAGACUUGUGAAUGCACAAAUAUGUUUAGAAUGUCGAUAGUUUUUCUCUAUCUUACUUACGUAAUCUCCAAUUUAAUUGAAAAUUCCAGAAAAUGUAACAGUUUUAGUGAACAGCUGAAAAUGUUUCCAUGUGUUUGUGCAAUCUGUUACCCCCGUCUUGCAGGUUAGGAAAUAGAUAUUUGCGCUUCAAGUUAAAAAUUACCACUUUUUGAAGUAAGUAUUUUUCGAUUUAAAAUUAAUUUUAACACCCCUAAUUCGUUUGUACACAUUUAUUUUACAUUAUAUAUGUAGUGCAAAAAUAAUUUUAUUUUAACAUUUAGCUUAUUGUUAAUUCUAUUUCUUUUAGAAUAACAAAAGAAUUACAAACUGCCAAAUAGGAGAAAUAUACA